CUCAAUGGAAUUUGUUGUGGACAAAGAGCAAAACAGAGUGCUCUUUGCCGAAGCAGAGAAGGAUUUUGUGGAUAUUCUUUUAAGCUUCUUGACACUGCCACUGGGAACUAUUGCUAGACUCGUAAGUAGGGAUUCAAACACGAAGCCUUGCCGAUUCGGAUGCAUAAGCUCGCUGUAUGAAAGUGUGGGGAAUCUGGACCCCAAGUAUUUGAAUUUGGAGACUUGCAAGCAAAUGCUGCUUCAGCCAAGGAACUCCAUGGAACGUUAUAAUCAAAACCUCAAACUCAACAUUGAUGACACUGAGCCAACCAAGUAUUAUGCUUGUGAACGUUUUGUCUUGAAAGGACCUUCUCUGGUGACCACUUCCAAGAAUAUGAAAUGCAAAUGUGGGCGGGAUUUUACGUUCCUUCUGAACGCUUGCGGAUCGCUCUUAUGCAGUCCUGUGGUUAGUGGAUCCGAUAAAAACCGGGUGA